CACGUAGGGUGCAAGCGUUGUCCGGAAUCAUUGGGCGUAAAGAGCGUGUAGGCGGCCAGGUAGGUCUGCUGUGAAAACUCGAGGCUUAACCUCGAGCUGUCGGCGGAAACCAUCUGGCUAGAGUCCGGAAGAGGAGAAUGGAAUUCCCGGUGUAGCGGUGAAAUGCGCAGAUAUCGGGAAGAACACCCGUGGCGAAGGCGGUUCUCUGGGACGGUACUGACGCUGAGACGCGAAAGCGUGGGGAGCGAACAGG
rnacentral:rRNA from 1 species